rnacentral:rRNA from 1 species
AUACGUAGGUGGCAAGCGUUGUCCGGAAUUAUUGGGCGUAAAGCGCGCGCAGGCGGUCCUUUAAGUCUGAUGUGAAAGCCCACGGCUCAACCGUGGAGGGUCAUUGGAAACUGGGGGACUUGAGUGCAGAAGAGGAAAGUGGAAUUCCAAGUGUAGCGGUGAAAUGCGUAGAGAUUUGGAGGAACACCAGUGGCGAAGGCGACUUUCUGGUCUGAAACUGACGCUGAGGCGCGAAAGCGUGGGGAGCAAACAGGAGUAGACACCCUGGUAGUCCACGCCGUAAACGAUGAGUGCUAAGUGUUAGGGGGUUUCCGCCCCUUAGUGCUGCAGCUAACGCAUUAAGCACUCCGCCUGGGGAGUACGGUCGCAAGACUGAAACUCAAAUGAAUUGACGGGU